rnacentral:lncRNA from 1 species
CUUAGGGAACCCAGCAAGGCAUCAGAUGUGCGGGCGAGCCAUUGCCACACCAUGCUUAGAAGCUGAUGACGAGGAUGAAGCUCCUGUGUUCCUUUCAGAUGCGGACCCGCUCUCUCUGACAGCAGGAACAGACUCCCUCCUCCUCGUUCGGGUCUCGGCUCUGCGGAGGCCAUCUCGGGGAUCCCCAUCCCGAGGAGCGCACCCUAGACUCACCUGCUUCAUUUCCUAGGGGCUCCUUCCUACCCUGCGACCCGAGAGUAGCCAAUCACAGUUUUCGUACCCGCCAGACCACGGUAAUUGACGCAGGCCCGGGCCAAUCAGAGCCCAUACCCAUUACCCUGCCUCCACUUGGCGGAGAAGACUUCUAGGGCAACGGAGGAUCCUUGGGGAGGAGCAGAGGGGUGAGGGCCGGGCGUCCCUGAACCUGUCCGCCUGUGUCCCCCUUGCUGAGGGCCGACCCACUUCCCUUGGUGGCUUGCAGUUUUCCCUGCGGCGCGUCUCACUGGAGUCAAGGACUCCCAACCAUCUUCAGCAGCUUGGAUCUCAGAUGCAGCCCCGCACUCCCCCGAGGCUCAGGCCCGACACUGGUGCUUGUCUGGAGCCUUUAUGUUUUUUUUUUUUUUUUUUUUUUUUUUUUUUUUUGGUACUGGGGAUCGAACUCGGGUCCUUGCGUUUGCAAGGCAGGCAGCGGAACCCCUGAGCUAAACCCUGGCAAUUUUUUUAGAUAGGGUCUCGCUAUGUAGUUCAGGUUGCUCGAACUCUCUGCCACCUUCCUGCCUUAGUCUCUCCCGCUUCAAAUUACCCAUGGGGCAUCUGCAGGCCCAGCCUCUCUCACCCCGUUACUUCAGCAGCUAAAAACGAGCUAUGCAUGGUCAUUAGAUCAACA